rnacentral:lncRNA from 1 species
AUCUGAAUUGCAUCUUGCUGCCAUAUGCAGGUUGGGAUUUUAUAAUCUGAAGAACGAAGAAGCAUUGUGACAAAAACUCCCAUGUAACCGAGACUUUUAACAUGCUUCCCACGACCCGCCCAGUUCAUAAGUUUUAUGGUAAGAGGCAUUUGUAUUCUUUUAUAUUGAAUUGUGAAGAGCAGUGGAUUUGGAAAUAUUUCUUUAGUUUAUCUUUCUCAUCAUUUCUCUGACCUACUUCUGGUAUCCCUUCUUUUCUCCUCUUCUUUCUGGUAAGCUGUGACUGUGAACAUGGAUCUCAAAGAUCUCUGUAAGAUAUUAUUCCAAUUUUAUAUUUUCUUAGACUUAGAUAACAUGAAUUUUUUUAAUAUACUGUAAUAUAAUGCCACAGGAUACCGUUAUAUAACCAUAGAGUUUUAGGUGUGUUGCUGGGCAUUAGGCACAUGAUAAUGAGGUCUAAUGUUUGUUAACUAUUCU